AUUAAACGCUGGCGGCAUGCCUUACACAUGCAAGUCGAACGGCAGCACGGGGGCAACCCUGGUGGCGAGUGGCGGACGGGUGAGUAAUGCAUCGGAACGUGCCCUGAAGUGGGGGAUAACGCAGCGAAAGCUACGCUAAUACCGCAUAUUCUGUGAGCAGGAAAGCAGGGGAUCGCAAGACCUUGCGCUUUGGGAGCGGCCGAUGUCGGAUUAGCUAGUUGGUGGGGUAAAGGCCUACCAAGGCGACGAUCCGUAGCGGGUCUGAGAGGAUGAUCCGCCACACUGGGACUGAGACACGGCCCAGACUCCUACGGGAGGCAGCAGUGGGGAAUUUUGGACAAUGGGCGGAAGCCUGAUCCAGCCAUGCCGCGUGAGUGAAGAAGGCCUCGGUGUAAG
rnacentral:rRNA from 1 species